UAAUGAUCACCUGCAAGAGUUUACACCAAUCAUGCGUCUUAUUUAUAGAAUGCACAUAAUUAUAUUCAGAGACCUCGGAUGACUUCAGCACAUUCUUCUGAUAAUUCAUACAUGUAAUUCGUAUGUGCAAAAAUACUGUAGCUUCCGUUUAUACCGUAAGAGACACGGAUGAAAAUACUCUAUACCUUUCUUAAAGUGUAUGUACAAUUUUACUGCAUGUUUUAAAAUAUUUCCUAUAAUAAGCUUCUGUUAUCAAGCUAAUACUGACUAAAAGCAAAAAAAAUGUAAACGAAUGCCUAAUUAAAAGUAUAAUUCAGUUGAAAUUCUUCUUGGUAACAUAGAUAUUAUUAUAUUAAAUGUUGUUUACGUUGCCCUUGUAAAUAAACAGAUAACUUUUUUGAAUUUUUUAUGUCGAUUUUAUUUUUCCGCGGCGUUAAAUCGUUUAAGAAGACUCAUGAAAUCAAAUAUGAGUAUAAGCAUGAUUACUUUACCUUGAAUUGUUUUAAUUUUGCACUAGAAAGUGGUCUGCCUGACACCUGGGCAAUAUCAGAAAAAGGUGGUGACUUUGAUCAAGUGCAAUUGGACGCCAGUGGAUUAGAAUUUAAUGAAGUCAAAGACGCGUUAAUUAAAGCAGGUUGCAAACCGAAUGGGAUAAUCAAUAUAACACGAUUAGAGAACAGGUCCAUGUGGUUGCAGUACCAGAGCAAGAAGAAUCAGCUGGAGAAACAAAAUCCGAACAUACUAAUUGAAAGAAGACUUUGGCACGGGACAAACAUCAAACAGUCCCAAAAAUUAUAAGGAACGGCUACGAUCGUAGUUUUGCUGGAAAUGCAAACACACAUGGACAAGGUGUCUACUUUGCGGUACAUUCUUCGUAUUCUGACAGAGAUCAAUAUGCUACCAGAGACGCAAACGGAAACAAAAGAAUGUUUCGGAACAGAGUUCUUACCGGAGAGUAUUGUCAAGGCAACCAA